UAUAAUUUGGAAGUUUUUGGGUAAAUAAAAGAAUGAAAAAUUAACAUUCCCAGCGAUAUUGACUUAUGGUAAAUUUAUAAUUAUGUUUGUAGAAUUGUGUUUUUACGAUUUUGUAUAUAAGGUUCCACUUUCUCAGAGGUUGCAUCUGUUACUAUAUUGUCACUGAAACUCGUUGUGUCAAAAUGAAAAUCUCUUCGGCAAUUAUUGUCCUCGUGGCCCUGGUUUGCGGCGCCGCUGCUAUCUCUAUUCGUGGAAAAAGUGCUCACUUGCUUGGGCUUGGCUAAUUAAUGGACUUCAUCAUCUCAAAUUCACAACCCAUCACAUUUCUACUGCACCCACGGCACGAGUCUUCUUCCAAUGAAGGACGUGUUUCUUAAAAGUCUUCCGUAGUCAUCUUUUUUCUUGAAAAUAAUGUUGAAAUGUAAAAUGGUAGGAAUACCGCACCUUAUAUAAUUAUUAUGUUAUGCACAAUAUAUU